UGUGAACAAGACACAGAAAGCGAGAGUGAUGGUUGUGAUCAUUCGGAUUCUCGUCGUCACUACAUGUUCCGACGGGGCCACACAUUGGGGCUAAUUUGAUUCUCGGAGACGGGAUGCGAGGAUCGCUCAUUUAAUAUUAGCCUUCUAUUUAUAGCCCCGCACGUCACCGAGUCGAGGUUGGAUUGGGGUCUGGAUUGAUGUUGGCGACUGUGUGUAGACGAGCUGGACGAAGCCGACAUUCUUGACGAGAUUCUUGCUACUUUGAUGUCUUUCUGAAUCUCCCUUACCCUCCGUUUUCCAUAUCUCCUCUCCCAUCAAGACCGAUACUGAAUAAAAAUACAAGUUUGA
rnacentral:misc_RNA from 1 species